GGGUCAAUGAUUAAAACUUUGCCUUGUCUCUAGAGAGGUAUUGUCUUAAAAGUCAUGCUCAAUAGAGUUAGGCUGAGGCCC
ensembl:snoRNA SNORD115 Small nucleolar RNA SNORD115